UAAACAGUCUUUAUAGUACAUGUGAAAUAGGAGACUCAUCUGAUUGUGGAAGUUUGUGUAGUUGAAAGGAGUUACAUACAGAUGCUGUUUUGAAUCAUAAGAAAUGACUGAUAUUAAUUCAUUUCUUCAGUUCCUCAUUAGCUUCUUCACAAGGAAUAAAUUGUGUAAGGAGUUCUAUAUUCCUAUUUAAAGACCUAACUUUUUUUUCCAUUUGAGCGUAUGAAAGCAAAUUAAUUGAAUUCAUUCUGAAUACUGAGCUUAUAUAGUUUUAUGUACAUGUAUAUGUGACUUUAUCUUUAUUUGACUUUUUAUUUAUAAGUUAUUUAAACAUUAAUAAUUUUAUUCUUUGUAUGAGAAGCUAUAAUCAAUCGAC